UUGAAGAUAUAAUUUUGUGUUCACCGUAAUUUUUUAUAUUUAUGACGUGUUUUUAACUCACUAAAAGUUUCUUCCAUAAAAUCAAAAUUAAAAAAAAGUUAAACAAAAAUAAUACUAAAAUCUGUUCAAAUCAUAAUGCAGCACUAUAAGUUUUCAGAGUAUGCUAGCACUUAACUCUCUCUACUAAUCAAAAAACGCUACCGACCAAGCACUUUUUAACAAAGACCAAAGCAUCAAUUACGUAGACAGCGAGUCAUUUAGACAGCGAGUCAUUGAGAUAUUUUUCAGUUAAUUUUUCCUGGCCCCACCAAAGUUUGUUGUCACCGGCUACCACUGGUUAUGUAUUUAACGUAGUUAUUAACAAUUAUUGACAAA